GUUCCAGUGCUUUUUCCUGUGCCUUUACCAUCUCCUGCAGCUCCAGGAACAUAGUCAGCUCGUCUUGUUCCUUGAGGCUCCCUCCCUCCUCCUCCUCCUCUGUGUUAUUAUCUAUCUCCUUCUCUUUUAUUUGUUUCUCUUCCUCAGGUGUCUUCAGCAUCUCCUCUUGUCUCUUCACAAGUUCCUGCAGCUCGAGGAACAAAGACAACUCGUCUUGUUCUUUGAGAUUUACUCCUUCUUCCUCCUCCUCCUCCUCCUCCUCCUCAAUGUUCUUCUCAUCCUUCUCCCUCUCUUUGAUUUGCUCCCUGUCCUCAGGUUGCUUCAGCAUCUCCUCCUGUCUCUUCACAAGUUCCAUCAGUUCGAGGAACGAUGAUAACUCGCCCUGCUCUUUGCGGCUCUCUCCUUCCUCCUCCUUCUGUUUGAUAUGCUCCCCGUCCCCUGAUUGCUU